AUAGCUCUCUAUAACUGUUCUGAGACCAGUGCAGACAGACAGCACACUGGAGGUUAAGUCGUGCACUAAAUAGGGAGCAAGGGAGCAUCCUAUAGCUCUCUAUAACUGUUCUGAGACCAGUGCAGACAGACAGCACACUGGAGGUUAAGUCAUUCACUAAAUAGGGAGCAAGGGAGCAUCCUAUAUCUCUCUAUAACUGUUCUGAGACCAGUGCAGACAGACAGCACACUGGAGGUUAAGUCAUUCACUAAAUAGGGAGCAAGGGAGCAUCCUAUAUCUCUCUAUAACUGUUCUGAGACCAGUGCAGACAGACAGCACACUGGAGGUUAAGUCAUGCACUAAAUAGGGAGCAAGGGAGCAUCCUAUAGCUCUCCUAUAACUGUUCUGAGACCAGUGCAGACAGACAGCACACUGGAGGUUAAGUCGUGCACUAAAUAGGGAGCAAGGGAGCAUCCUAUAGCUCUCUAUAACUGUUCUGAGACCAGUGCAGACAGACAGCACACUGGAGGUUAAGUCAUUCACUAAAUAGGGAGCAAGGGAGCAUCCUAUAUCUCUCUAUAACUGUUCUGAGACCAGUGCAGACAGACAGCACACUGGAGGUUAAGUCAUUCACUAAAUAGGGAGCAAGGGAGCAUCCUAUAUCUCUCUAUAACUGUUCUGAGACCAGUGCAGACAGACAGCACACUGGAGGUUAAGUCAUGCACUAAAUAGGGAGCAAGGGAGCAUCCUAUAGCUCUCCUAUAACUGUUCUGAGACCAGUGCAGACAGACAGCACACUGGAGGUUAAGUCAUGCACUAAAUAGGGAGCAAGGGAGCAUCCUAUAGCUCUCCUAUAACUGUUCUGAGACCAGUGCAGACAGACAGCACACUGGAGGUUAAGUCGUGCACUAAAUAGGGAGCAAGGGAGCAU